UCCGACCUGCACGAAUGGCAUAACGACUUCCCCACUGUCUCGGAGAGGCCCUCAGCGAAGUAGCACUAGGGGUGAAGAUACCCUUUACCCGCGGCAGGACGGAAAGACCCCGUGAACCUUUACUGUAACUUGGCACUGAUUUUCGGGUUAGCUUGCGUAGGAUAGGUGGGAGGCUAUGAAGCCGGGAUUCCGGUCUCGGCAGAGCCAACCUUGAAAUACCACCCUGGCUAACCUAAAAAUCUAACUCGCUUCCGUAAUCCGGAAGGAGGACAAUGCCUGGUGGGCAGUUUGACUGGGGCGGUCGCCUCCCAAAAAGUAACGGAGGCGCGCGAAGGUUCCCUCAGCCUGAUUGGAAACCAGGCGCAGAGUGUAAUGGCAUAAGGGAGCUUGACUGCGAGACAAAACAAGUCGAGCAGGUGCGAAAGCAGGUCAUAGUGAUCCGGUGGUCCUGUAUGGAAAGGCCAUCGCUCAACGGAUAAAAAGGUACUCCGGGGAUAACAGGCUAUCACGCCCAAGAGUUCACAUCGACGGC
rnacentral:rRNA from 1 species